CCUACGGGAGGCAGCAGUAGGGAAUCUUCGGCAAUGGACGAAAGUCUGACCGAGCAACGCCGCGUGAGUGAAGAAGGUUUUCGGAUCGUAAAACUCUGUUGUUAGAGAAGAAUAGGGGAAAGAGUAACUGUUUUCCUCGUGACGGUAUCUAACC
rnacentral:rRNA from 1 species